UACGGGGGGGGCAAGCGUUGUUCGGAAUACUGGGCGUAAAGGCGUGUAGGCGGCCAACUAAGUCCGACGUGAAAUCCCCAGGCUUAACCUGGGAACUGCGUCGGAUACUGGAUGGCUUGAAUCCGGGAGAGGGAUGCGGAAUUCCAGGUGUAGCGGUGAAAUGGCGUAGAUAUCUGGAGGAACACCGGUGGCGAAGGCGGCAUCCUGGACCGGCAUUGACGCUAAAGCGCGAAAGCCAGGGGAGCAAACGGG
rnacentral:rRNA from 1 species